rnacentral:rRNA from 1 species
UACGGAGGGUGCAAGCGUUGUUCGGAUUUAUUGGGCGUAAAGCGAGUGUAGGCGGUUUGACAAGUCGGCUGUGAAAUCCCGAGGCCCAACCUCGGAACUGCAUCCGAUACUGUCAGGCUAGAGUCCCGGAGAGGGUGGCGGAAUUCCCGGUGUAGGGGUGAAAUCCGUAGAUAUCGGGAGGAACACCAGUGGCGAAGGCGGCCACCUGGACGGUGACUGACGC